GCCAUUCGGUCGCAAUUUCCGCCACAAUGUUAUGAUGUCGCAACGGUGCCCCUUCCUCUCCGUCCGUUUAUGGCGACGACAUGACAAAUUGCGUCUGACAUGUCUCAUUCUCAUCAUGUGUUGGGAUUUUUCGUUUAUCUACAAGGAAUGCUCGGGCAGUCGCUUCAGCAACAGCGGCUUUUACCACCUCAACAACAUCCGGGUAACAGCACGAUGGAGCAUGCAACAGCAGUCGCAAAUCUUCGACUUUAGAUUUGGCCAACUUGGCGGCUUGUUAGUCGGUCCAUCAAGGCCAGUAUCGAACCAUCAUCGCCUUCCACUGUUCCCAGCCGAUUUCACUUGUGUUUUGCAAACUUAGGCCUACUUCCGAUCUAUAAGGUCACAAAUGUGUAUCCAUUCAGAGAGGAAAUGAUGGAUAACAGUUCACGGUGUAUUCCCUGGGCUCUGGUGUACAUACUCCCUCACUCUCAGAGUUCUACGUACAAGUGGAAAUUUAAAUUACAGGGCUUUUUUGUUCGUUCCGCAUUGAUGUACGUUUCAUAUUAAAUUUUUAAAUUCGA